rnacentral:lncRNA from 1 species
UUGUUUUCUCUACCUCUCUCCCUCACAUCUUUUCUCUCUUCUCACUAUCUCUUAAUUGCCCAAUCUCUCCCUCUCGACCAGAUGAGUGUGUGUAUCCCAUGCUCUGUAUGUGUGUUUCAGAUGAGCUGUGUAUGUGUCAAUAUGUGUAAGUGUAUGUGUAUUUAUGGCGUUUUGGAGCUUUCCCAGAAAAGAAGGAAGACGACAAUGGUCCUCUCCUCUCUUCCCGUUUUCUUAUUCUCCCCCCUUUCUAUUUCUGUCUCUACCUAAAAAAUGGAAAAAUAGGGCCUUUUGUGUUUGGUCAGUGUAUGCGUAUGGAGGAUCUGUGUGGAAGAAGAGGAAAGUUGAGUCCCUCCCCCUUUUCUUUCACUGGUUUUUCACUUUUCUCUGGACUCUCAUUGCAGUGUGUAUAUUGUGAAGGUUGGUGAAGAAUUCCUCCUCCCAAAAAUGAAAAAGGAAAAUGUGAUAAAAAUGGGGUGGGGUAUGGGGUGCGCGUGAGUAGAGGUGAGGAGGUGUACGUGAGUAGGGGUGAGGGGGUAUGGGGGUGGUGAUGUGUUGUCAAUUUUAAUUGGAGGGGUUGUUAGGAUAUGAUUAAAACAAGGUAAAAUUUGUUAAGGGUUGUUAUUUUUUGUCAUUUUAUAGAGGGAUAAUUACAUGUUUGAGGGUACACGAUAGCAUAAGGUAAAUAGGCGAAAAUAUCUUUCGGAGGGACAAAAUUACGUGUCUACAAUUAAGACUACCAAUAAUUCAAUUAUACAACUUAUAAUCCAAAUUUAGAAGGAAUUUUUAGGUAUUCUUCCUAAUUAAAAGUUGUGGUCCUUCAUGUAUGUGCUAUUCUCUUCGUCCUAAAUUAUGUGAUGAUGUUCGAAUUUCGAGAGUCAAGACAAAUUAUUUUUUAAUCACAAUUUAUUCAUUUGUCAUUUUAAAUUAUUAAUUAUUCUAACCUAUAUUAUUUUAAACGUAGUAUUCAAGUGUGUAAAUUUCAUAUUCGAAGACUAAAUGAUUAUAUAUAUGUUUAAAUCUAGUGUCAAAAUUAAGAGUAAUAUUAAAGUGGGUUAAGGUGAUAGGUUAGGUGUGGGUGAAUUCUUCUUAAUGGAUCAAAACUUUAAAAAAAAAAAUUUAAAAUGACGUGGGCCUCUAAUAAGAGGCCACGUGGCAAAACAACUUUUUUUAAAACUACCAUUAAAAAGUAAUGGCAUGGAUGGACCGGUUUUAUAACGGCGAUAGCAUGAAUGAGCCCAACUUUUAACAGAUGACAUAAAUAAGUCAUUUCUGAUAGUUCAGUGGCAUAUUUGAGCCUUUUCUCCAAAAUAAAAACAUUGAGACAAGUGUGCAUACUGCACUUGAUUCAUAUUCAACGAGUGAUUAUAUCGCCUACCAUACAUUAAUAUCUCGGCUUCUCAACCUCUUCCUAUAACAACAUUGCACGACACCUUAAGCCCAACAUCCUUCGGAUCCCUAAUUUUACCAUAAGAAUCAGCCACUGUAACCAAAUAUCCACCACAUUGGCCACACUAAACUUGUAAUUUUCUCCUAGAUUCCGUUGAUUUUCUCUUAUGUCAUCUAAAGGAAGUUUUUCAAGUGCAAAGCAAGUUACAAGCUGAAGAAGAACAAGUAAAGAUUACUAUUCUUAUUUUACUAAAGAGGUCCCUUCUGAAAGUUCAUCAAUGGAAAAGGAAAUGUAUUCACAAACACUUAAUUUAGGGUAUUAGUAUAAUAGCAACCUAGCGCGGUCCUACAAGCGGGGAUAGAGUAGGAGGUAUACAAGAACACGAAAGUGAUAGCAGCCGGACGUAAUAUAUAUAUAUANNNNNNNNNNNNNNNNNNNNNNNNNNNNNNNNNNNNNNNNNNNNNNNNNNNNNNNNNNNNNNNNNNNNNNNNNNNNNNNNNNNNNNNNNNNNNNNNNNNNNNNNNNNNNNNNNNNNNNNNNNNNNNNAUAUAUAAAUAAAAGGUGAGAGAUAGAGCAAGAUAUGAAAAUUUAUAUAUAAAGUAAUUACUUACAUUUACCACCCUAGAUUGUGCAGUGACAAAAGACUUUUCAUUAUGACCAUGUAUAUGGACGUGUAAAUGUAUAUCACUCGGUGUUGGAUCUCGCCCUUUUCCAAUAGCCUAUUCAAAAGUUAUUUUCACUCAAAAUCAGAUCUCUAUCUCAAAAUACAUUUAAUAAAAGAGUUAUUACAUAGGAUGUUCGGCUCUUAGUCCUAAAGCCAACAAUUCGUUACAAAAGCCUCAGUAAGCACCACCAAAACCGUAAUGACAUACAAUCCUAAGUAAGCAUCAAUCAACCAUCUCUUUCAAACAACAGCUGAACCAUCCACACUAUUAACUGCAACUUUUAAGAAGGAAGUCAUUGCAAUACUCUAUGGAGCAGUGAUAUACUAUACAUGGAAGGCGAAAAAUAGACAGCACUUUAGGCAGAUAACAAUUGAAUAAAGAGUUUAUUAUUACAGAAGUACAAAAGGAAUUGCAGGAAAGAAAACGACUUUUCAGCACAUAAUCAAAAACUGUAAACUGAAAAUCUAAUUUAUAUAAAACACACUUAUGAGUAUUUGGCUAAAAAUAUUUCGUCUGUUUAUGUAAUUAUUUGGCUAGUCCUGAAAAUCUUUCCUGCCGUAUAUGGUACCUAACUCCAAUGAAUGUAAGGACUAUUUGUUCUAGUUUAUAGUAUAAUAUUCUUCAGUAUUAUUUUUUUUUUUAGAAAAGAAAACACAUGUUAUAUGACAUAUAUAUAGGUACACCUAUAUUGAAAGUGUGAAUACCGUGGAAAAGUGAAUUAUUUAAUAAAAAUUUUAAUUUUAGACAAAAUCGUCUUUUUCUUAUUUUUCUUAUUAUUCACUACUAAAAAAAAGAGGAAAACUGACCACAAUGAUCAGUUUUCCUCAAUUUCCGACCACCAAACCGACCAAAGUGCGUGAUCGGUAAAACUGUGGUAGCUUUUUAAAAAUCGACCACGUGUGGUCGUUUUUUUUUAAAAAAAAUUUUAAUUCAUUAUUAUUUUCUUAAAAUAGAAAAAAAUGAUUUUAAGAAUAAAAAAAAUCAAAAUAAACCGACCACAAGUGGUCAGUUUUAUUUUAAAAUUUAUUAAUUAAUUUUAUUAAAACCGACCACAAGUGGUCAGUUUUUUAAAAAUAAAAUUAAAAAAAAAACCGACCACUUGUGGUUGGUUUUUAUAAAUAUUUUUAAUUAAUUUUUUUUUAAAAAAAGCUACCACAUGUGGUCGGUUUUUUUUAUAAUUUUGUAAAAAAAAUAUUUAAAAUUUAAAAAAAAGCUACCACAUGUGGUCGGUUUUUUUAUAAUUUUGUAAAAAAAAAAACAUUGAAAAUUUUUAAAAUACAAAAAUUAAAAAUCAAAUUAUUUAAAAUAUACCACCAAUCAUUUACAAACAUUGAUUAUUAUCUGCAAUACAUCCCACCAAUCAUAUAUAUGUAAUCAACAAACCAUCAUAAGAAUACAAACAUUAUUUACAAAAUUUAUCGAGGUUCCAAAUCCAAACUAUAAAACAUACAAAAUACUAAAAACUACAACUCAUAAUCCGCAUCUUCAUUCUCAGUCUCAUUCAUUCAAUUAUCGAUAUUUCGUUGAUAUAUCCAGUUAUAAUCAGAUUCCAUCUACACAAUCAAUCACAUUCAAGUGAUUAGUUCAAGUCACAAAAGUUCACAUUUCAAAUACCUACACCUAAACAUUUUCAAAUAACUAAUUCACUUCACACGUUACCAAACUAAACUUAAUUCAAAAUGAAAAAACGUGCCUACACUUAGACAUUUUGAAGUCACUAAUUCACUUCUCAAGUGACCACACUUUACUAAAAUCAAAACGGUUCACAUUUCAAGUACCUAAUUUCAAAACAAAAGUCACUAUUCCAUAAUUCAAGUAACGACACUUAAACAUUUCAAGUCACAAAGUUACUUCACAAUUUACCGUACAAAACUAAAUUCAAAAUGAAAAGUUCACAUUUCAAAUACCUACACUGAAACAUUUUCAAGUCAGUAAUUCACUUCGCAAAUUACCAAACUAAAUCAUAAUUCAAGUCAAUGCACUUAAACAUUGUCAAGUCACUAAUUCACAUCUCAAGUGGCUACACUUAAUUUAAAACACAAGUUCACCUUUCAAGUAACUAAAUCCAUUUUCAAGUAACUAAUUCAUAAUUCAAGUCAAUACACUUAAACAUUUUCAAGUCACUAAUUCACUUCUCAAGUUACUACACUUAACUAUAUUCAAAACACAAGUCCAUAUUUCAAGUAACUACACUUAAAUAUUUUCAACUCACUAACACUUCUCAAGUUACUACACUUAACUAUAUUCAAAACACAAGUCGACAUUUCAAGUAACUACACUUAAAUAUGUUCAAGUCACUUACUCACUUCUCAACUGACCACACUUAACUAUAUUCAAAACACAAGUCCACCUUUCAAGUAACUACACUUAAAUAUGUUCAAGUCACUUACUCACUUCUCAACUGACCACACUUAACUAUAUUCAAAACACAAGUCCACCUUUCAAGUAACUACACUUAAAUAUGUUCAAGUCACUUACUCACUUCUCAACUGACCACACUUAACUAUAUUCAAAACACAAGUCCACCUUUCAAGUAACUACAAACAUUUUUGACUCAUUAAUGCACUUCUCAAGUGACCCCACUUAACUAUAUUCAAAACACAAGUCCAUAUUUCAAGUACCAACACUUGAACAUGUUCAAGUCACUAACUCACUUCUCAAGUGACCACACUUAACUAUAAUCAAAACACAAGUUCAUAAUUCAUGUAACUACAUCUAAACAUUUCAAGUCACUAAUUCACUUCUCAAGUGACCAAACUUAACUAAAUUAGAAACACAAGUCCACGUUUCAAGUACCUACACUUAUGCAUUUUCAAGUGACUAACUCAGUUCUCAAGUAACCACACUUAACUAAAUCCAAAACACAAGUCCACGUUUCAACUACCUACACUUAAACAUUUUCAAGUACAUAUUCACUUCUCAAGUGACCACACUUAACUAAAUUCAAAACACAAGUCCACAUUUCAACUACCUACACUUAAACAUUUUCAAGUACUAAUUCACUUCUCAAGUGACCACACUUAACUAAAUUCAAAAUACAAGUCCACAUUUCAAGCACCUUAAAAAAAAAUUCCUUUAAAGUCCCUACACUUAACCAUUUUCAAGUGACUAAGUCACCAACCAAACCACUUUCAAAACAUAAAAUCCCCUUUAAAAUCCCUACACUUAACCAUUUUCAAGUAACUAUACUUAACCAUUUCCAAGUCAUGUACUAGCAUUUCAAGUCACUACACUUAGCUAUUUUCAAUUAACUAAUUCACAUUUUCAAGUCACUAUACUUAACCAUUUUUCAAAUAACUACACUUCUAGAUGUAUCAAUUUUCAAGUAACUAAACUUAAUCAUUUUCAAGUCAGUACUACACAUUUUGAUACAAGAAUAACCAGCGACUAAGAACACACCAAAACAUACAUCCAAAACAGACCACAAGUUCAAGAGAACUGAGACGACCGUGAUGGCUGAGCAGCGGUGGCGCCGCCAUUGAUGGUGAAGAGGUCAUAGAGAGAGAGAACGGUAUAGAGAAGUGUAGAGAGAGGGAGAAAGCGGAUUAUAUAAGGAGAUUACUCCUUAAUUUGCACACAAUCAGGUUCAAUAUUAUUCAAAUAAUUACGAACAACUCAACUAAGUAUAAAAAAUCACCUAUACAUGGAGAAAUCAAGAUUACACGUUGAACUAAAUACUAUUACAGUAACAGUUCACAAAUCCACAAGUCAUAGCUUAGGGCAAACAAAAAUCAUACAAAAAUACAACUUUUACAUAUGUCGAUAUAUGAAUAUAAACAAACUUGAAAUUAGAAUAGGGGAUUGACAAUCAAAAUCCAGCAGAUUUGCUCAUUUAAAAAGAAAAGGGAUGGAAACAUAUGUUAGUUAACAGAUAUAAAUAAACAUGCAUUCAAAACAAUCUAGUCAAAAUGGUAGCGCAAGUUUUAUGUAUUUUUGAGAUUUCUCCCACAAUGCUAGUUUUGGCACAUAACGACACACAAAAUUGGAGGAUUUAACUCAAAACUCACAAUUAGAUCUUAAUAGGAUCGUUCAUAAAAGAAAAUAGAUAAAGAAGUAUGAGUUUGAAUGGAAUAGCAAACCUGAGAUGAAUUCUCUCAGAAUCUGUCAUUUUCGAUGAGAAAAGGGUUGCAUGUCUAGUUCGCCAUUGAUGGAAGCAUGGGGAUGGACAGAAGAAGCCAACGGAGGUGAUGGGUCGGCUCGCCACUGAUGGUGGUGGUGGCUGCGGCGUUGGAGAGGUGACGCCAUGACUGGUGAGGUCUAGUCGGAGGUAGAGCAGCACGGAAGGGAGAGAGGCGCCGACAGAGGCUGUUUCGUUGGAACGAAAGGACGGCGCCAAUGACGUCAUUGGAGCGGAGAAGGAGGAGGACGAGGGGGAACUCAUGGUGGUGUUGGAGCAGCGCUGUUGUCAUCGAUGGGGGCGGUAAGAGGGAGAGAGUCUAUAGAGAGAGACCAAGGGAGGCUGUCUUUUUUAUUUAUUUAUUUUUUGGGAAUUAGGGAUUAGGGUUAGGUUGUUUUUAAUAAGGAAAGAGGCAGAUCAAACCUCAGCUGUUAGAUCGAUUUUGAUCAACGACUAGAAUUUUAAGAUUAUGCGAGGUUAGAAUGUGGCUAGGAUUGCAAACAAUUAGGCUAAGAUUGUAACAAAUGGCUAGAAUUGCAAGAAAUUGGAUUAAGAUUGUAAUAGACUGAGUAGAGUAGGCUAUAAUUGUAAGAAAUUAAAUAAAAUUGGAUUAAAAGGUAAAUGAAUUAGGCAAGGUAAUUUUAAUUAGGCUGUUAUUUAACUAUAUAAUAAUAAUAAUAAUAAUAACAAUAAUAAAUAAUGAUGAUAAUAAUUAAAUAACAAUAAUUUAAAUAAUAAUAAUAAUAUAAAUAAUAACAAUAUAUAUUCUAAUAAAUAAUAAUAAAAAUAAUAAUAUCAAUAAAUAGUAUUAAAUAAUAGAAAACUUAGACAGUGUAUUUGCAAAAAAAUGUGAGUGCGCACAGUUACGUGAAUAAGUAAUUUAAUUAAUAAAAUUAUGUAAAAUGUUGUAUUUGAAUUAAUAAAUCAUAAAAUGAUAUCAAAAAUUAAUAAAAUAAUUUAUAUAUAUUUAAAUCACGAAUGUGACACGUCGACAAUCUGUUUGAUGCAAGAAAAUUAAAGUGCAAAAAAUAAUAAUAUUUAAAAAAUUAGUAAUUUUGUUAAAAUAGCAGCUUAAAUGUAGUAUCGGAAGGUCAAAAUUGAGUGUCAACAACAGUUGAGAUUUAGAGGUUCAGAAUUUAAUUAUGAUUUGACUAAAAUUUAAAAAUUGAAUUACAAUUGACUAUGAUUGUAGUAAAUUGGCUAAAAUUGUAAUGAAUUAAAUAAAAUAGGCUAAAAUUGUAAGAACUUGGAUAAUAUAAAAUAGUAAAUAAUAUAUAAUAAAUAAUAAAUAUUAAUAAUUUUUAAACAAAACCGACCAUAAGUGGUAGGUUUUUUAAAUUAUUUUAUUUUUUAUUUUUUUAAAUUUCAUAACCGACCACUUGUGGUAGCUUUUAUAAAAUAUUUUAAAUUUAAUUUUUAAAAUAAAACCGAUCAUAUGUGGUCACUUUUUAAAAAUACUUUUCAAUUAUAUUUUUUAAAUAAAACUGACCACAAGUGGUCGGUUUUUUAAAAUUAUUUUCUUUUUUAUUUUUUUAAUUCCAAAACCGACCACUUGUGGUCGCUUUUAUAAAAUAUAUUAAAUUUAAUUUUUAAAAUAAAACCGACCACAAGUGGUCGCUUUUUAAAAAUAUUUUUUAAUAAUAUUUUUUAAAUAAAAUUGAUCAGAUGUGGUCGAUUUUUUAAAAUUAUUUUUUUUAUUUUUUUUAAUUCCAAAAUCGACCACUAUAAAAUUAUUAUUUUUUAUUCCAAAACCGACCACAAAUGGUCGGUUUUUUAGUUUUUUUUUUAAAAUAACUAAUAAUUAAUAUAAAAAUUAUUUAAAUCAUUAUUUUGAAAUUUUAAAAUAUAAAAGCGACCAUUUGUGAUCGCUUUUUAAAAAAAAAAAAUUAAAAAAAACGACCACAUGUGGUUGGUUUUUUGCGACCACAAUCUGUGAUCAGUUUUUCGUGGUCGAUUUUUCAGUUUUUUUUAGUAGUGAUUAUUUUAUUAAACUAAGACUCCUAAUAUAUGUGGAAAGAAUAUAAAAUAAAUAUGAAAAUUUUACUUAUUUGUAAUAGGUAAAAACUCCACGCUGAAAUCAACUAAAAAUUUAUCUAUCAAAUUUUCUUUUUAUUUAGGUUAGUCUAAAUAUGUCAUCUCCAGGGAAGUACUUUGGAGAUGCCUGGAGGUGAGUGGAGUACCGCAGGCAUAUAUCAGAGUAAUUAAGGAUAUGUAUGAGGGAGCGAAAACCCAGGUGAGGACGGCGGGAGGAGACUCAGAGCAUUUCACUGUCCUGACAGGAUUGCACCAGGGAUCUACUCUUAGUCCCUUUUUGUUUGCGUUAGUAAUGGAUGUGUUGACGCGGCGUAUCCAAGGGGAGGUGCCGUGGUGUAUGCUUUUUGCAGACGAUGUAGUCCUGAUAGAUGAGACUCGAGGGGGUGUGAAUGACAAAUUAGAGUUGUGGAGGCAAACUCUGGAGUCUAAAGGGUUCAGGGUGAGCAGAACCAAGACAGAGUAUGUGGAAUGUAAGUUUAAUGACGUGAGGCGGGAGAAUGAGGUAGUAGUGAGGCUAGAAGCACAGGAGGUAGGGAAGAGGGAUAAGUUCAAGUAUCUCGGGUCCGUGAUCCAGAGUAACGGUGAGAUUGACGAGGAUGUCUCGCACCGUAUUGGGGCGGGAUGGAUGAAGUGGAAACUCGCAUCGGGGGUGCUGUGUGAUAAGAAGGUGCCGCCCAAGCUUAAAGGCAAAUUCUAUAGGGUGGUAGUCCGUCCGGCCUUGCUGUAUGGAGCGGAGUGUUGGCCAGUUAAGAACUCCCACAUCCAAAAAAUGAAGGUGGCAGAAAUGCGGAUGUUGCGCUGGAUGUGUGGACUGACCCGAGGGGAUAGAGUUCGGAAUGAGACUAUCCGGGAGAAGGUUGGUGUGACUUCAGUGGAGUGUAAGAUGCGGGAAGCACGAUUGAGAUGGUUCGGACACGUGAAGAGGAGGGGCACGGAUGCCCCGGUCCGUAGGUGUGAGAGGCUAGCGUUGGAUGGUUUUAGACGGGGUAGGGGUAGACCGAAGAAGUACUGGGGUGAGGUGAUUAGGCGGGACAUGGAACAGUUACAGCUCACCGAGGACAUGACCCUAGAUAGGAAGGUCUGGAAGACGCGAAUUACGGCAGAGGAUUAGGGCCAGUUCGGGUCGCUAGGGUAGGGAAUUAAUUGGGGGGGUGUAUCUCUGUUUUAUAUUCCUUAUGGGUGCCGUAUCUAUGUUAUGUCAUCUGCUUCUGUGCUGUACUAUGUGCUUGUGUGAUAUCUCGUGACUUGAGCCGGGGGUCUUUCGGAAACAGCCUUUCUACUUCAUCAGAGGUAGAGGUAUGGACUGCGUACAUCUUACCCCCCCCCAGACCCCACUAAGUGGGAAUACACUGGGUUUGUUGUUGUUGUUGUUGUUGUAAAUAUGCCAUCUCCACGCGUAUGGACAUAUUAGCCAACAUAAUUUAUGGAAAUUUAUUGAAAUUUAUAAGGUUAGUUUAAUGGCAUAAAGAAAUUUACCUUAAAUAAAACGCUAUUCGGCAAUUCUAUAUAAAUAAUGUGAUGUAUCAAAUUUUACCCAAACAAUAAUAUUUUUUAUAUUUUUAUCCUUUUUUUUUUACACUAAUAAUAUAGGUCAAUUUAAAUCACUUUUAGUUUCUUUUAGGUUUUGGACUCUUUAUAAAUACCGCAAAAGAAAAAAAUGUUCAACGUGAUUUGUCACACAACAGUAGAAAAUUGAUUUCAAAGUCAGAAAUAAAUUUGCUGGUGUUGCUAGCCAUUGGUUAGCAACAACACAGUUGCAUGAUUGGUUUAGCAUGUGAAAAGCCUGUGCGACAUUCGUUUGCAGCAUCUUUUUUUCGCCUCCAACUCUAAAAGGACUUACCUCCAAUCUAUAUGUGUUUUGAUGUGAAUGAGAAAGAUAUAAGUAUUGCAGCUUCUGUAUAUUCGGCAAAGUCAAGUGUGAGAAGGAAUUCACCCUCAAAUCAACUAUUUGUAGGCACUUAUAAAGAUCACCAUGAAAAGUGUGAAUGUCUUAAACUCAUGCAUCUCAAGUGCACCAAAUUAUCAAUUAUUUUGGGUAGAAUUUAUUUGAAAGAGAACUUGUGUCUAGAGAUGUUUGGGUGAGUUAUAAGGAUGGAUGAGGUAUUAUAUUUUCAAUAGAAAAAUUAUAACAAUGUAAAAAAUCAACGUUAAAAUCUUUUCGUACAAAAAGUAAAAAUAAAGAGACGAAUUAUAUGCAAGGAUACGCCAACUGCACUUCGUUGUUGUAACUCUCCUUUUUUCUAAGAAUUCUUCUUCUUAUUUUCAUUUGCUUAUUUUCAAUUGUUUAGCAUUAGAAUUUCUCAUAUUAUGAUUUGAUUAGUGAAUUAUAUUUUCUUUUUUUGUGUGUGUGUCCCUCUCUAUAUAUGUUCACUUCAAUAUUUUUAAUGAUUUUUUUUAAAACAAAAUUAUGUUUUGUAUAAUAUUUUGCGGGAACAUUAUUGAUGGAUGAAGCAAAAGUCUGAUUAGAUUUCUCUCUAAUUUUCUCCCUGCUGCUAAUUAGACAAUCAGGUAAAUAAAUAAUAUUAUUUUUUAUGUUUAGUUUUUGUAAAAAUUGUAAAAAGUCACCGACAAAAGGUAAGUAAUGUUAAUUAUUUUCCAAUUUUCAAUUUUUACGUAAGUUUUAAAACUCUCAAAACUUUAGAACAUUGAUUUUCUCUUAUCUGAAUAUAAUGUGAAAUAAAUUUAACAUUAAAUUUUACGGUUAACUAAUAUUUUAAUUAUCUAAUACUAUAAAUUAUCUUUUCCUUUAAUAAUCUUACGUAUAGUUUUUCUAUUUUUGUCUUCCAUUAAUUUUAAAUUAAUGUAUUAAUUUUGAAUGUGUGUACAUAUGUAAUGCAUCUUCUAAAGCCGAAGUUUAAAUUUAUAGAAACUAUUAUAUACUAACGUGCAACUUUUAAUUAUUAAAUUUGAUUUAUAUCAAAAUCCUUGAAUUUCAUUUUUCUUUGUUGGAAUUGAAGAAAAAAUUACUCCAUUCUUUAUAUUGAUUGAGGACUUGAUAUGACGCACAUGUGUAAUGCACACACACUAGAUUAGUGUGUGUGUGUAUAUAUAUAUAUAUAUAUAUAUAUAUAUAUAUAUAUAUUAUCUUUUUUAUUUAGUACUUUAUUAAAAAUAACUACUCAUAACUCACUCCUCUUCAAUUUAUACUCUUAAUAAUAUUCAUAACUCUCAUUUUAAAUCUUCAUAACCUCCCGAAAUUUAAUUUGUAAGUUUAUGAAAACCUUAUGGAAUUCCUCCACUUUGCCUAUAUAAACUCAUGUUUUGUUUCAUGAAAAUUCUCAUUCAAGGUUAUUUUUCUCUUCUCUAUUAAGGGUGAGGAAAAAAAUGAAAAGAAAAUGUUAAUCAUCACAUCAUAUGAUUGCUUUUACGUGAAGAACCAUGGUUGGCAAAUCCGUAUAAAGAAUUUAUGGGUAGGAAUAUUUCUUUUAAUUUUUUUAAAUUAUACUCCUCUUAUUUUAAUUUAUAGAAUAUUUCUUUAGAGUUAAUUUAUUAGACUAUUUUUUGAAAUUAAAUUUCAUUAGCUGAAUUCAAGACCAACCAAAUCAAAGUGCUAAAAUAUCAAUCAAGUUACGAGUUCUUAAGUGGUAAGAAUAUUCUUUUAAUUUCUUUAUUUUAAUUUUAAUCACUUAAAAGUUACAAAUUCUAAUUUUAGGUAUUUAAGAUCGAAAAAAUUCAUUAAAGCUUUUUUUAGAGUAACUAACAAUAUCGUAUAAGUAUAUUCUCAUUUUAAUAAAGCUAAUUUAAUAACAUUUUAAUUACAUUAAUUUGAUAACGUUAAUUUAAUAUACUACUACUACAAUCCUUAAUAACAUUAAUUUAAUAAUGUUUUAUUAAAACUAUAAUUUUUUUAUUAUUAGUAUAGUUUCAUCUUUAAUUUAAUAUUAAAUAAAUAAUAUUUAGAUAUAUUAUAUAACUUAAAUUCGUCCUCUGCUUUAUAAUUUAUAUACAUACCCUCUCGAUUUUUUCGUAUGAGGUUGACCCGCCCAAUUAAUAAAUCUUUAAUAUUGCUCUUUUUCCGCAAUGACAAAAGAAAUUAGAUGUCAUUUUCAUUUUUGAGCCGAAAAUAAUGAAAAAAUAAUAGUGAAGAGUCAUUUAAAGGUCAUAUUUGUGCAUUUUUAAAUAGUUAAAGGUCAUAUUUGUGUACUGUCAAAGUUUAAGGUUAUAUUUAUGUAUUAUGCCCUUAGAUUUUAAGCUGGACGCGCCUAGUUUUGCGUGUUGAACAUGCGUUUUUUUCACGUAGGAUUGGAGGUCAUAUUUGUACAAUUUUGAAUAGUUAAAGGUCAUAUUUUUGCACUGUCAAAGUUUAAGGUCAAAGUUAUAAUUUGGUGUCAAGUUUAGGAUCAUUUUUAUGUAUUAUUAUAUGUCUGUAUUCUAUAUCUACAAUCUACAUCUACAUCUAUCUACAAUCUACAAUAUAUUAAACGUGUGAAUACCCUAAAAAAAAUGAUUUGCACUUUUUAUCUUUCAUUAAAAGACUCUGCUUAUCGUCUUUUCACUUUAUUAAAAAAAUUAUUAUUUAAAUUUAAAUUAAUUUUUAUUGAUAAAGAUUUAAUUUGCAUUGUAAAAUUUAGGUAAAAAUAAUUAUUUAAUUGUUUCCUUUUAGAUUUAGGAACCAAUCAUAAAUUUUACAUUACUUUAUUUUUGAAGAACAAUUUUUCUUUCGAAUAAAACAUGACAUAAUCGGGUCACUUCCACUUAAAAAAAAAGAGAGUUAGUUCUUAGAAGAUAAAUAGGGAAACCUAAGGACAUCAAACUCCACUCUUCUUUAGUAGGGGAAUUUGGUUUAGGAUUAAUUAUAAUAUUUAACACUUCUAAAUCAAUUAAAAUUUUACCUUAUAUAAAAAAGAAUUUAUAUAAUUCUAUUCAAGUAAUAUUUGGAUUAAAUUUUAUCCUAAAAAUUGGUCUUUCUUUUACUUCUACUUUCUUUCUUUUCUUAUUUUAGUUUGGAUUCACAUAGUGAAAUUAUAGAAACAAAUGCAAAGUAGAUUUCCAUUGUACUGUUGAAAUAUUUUUCUCUCUUUUUUGAUUGGUUGUUUUUUAGGUGGUAGAUAAAUAUUAUUAUUAUUAUUAUUUUAAAUUUCGAGAUAGGGGAAGGGGAAUGGGGGAGGGGAUUACAAUGUGGGGAAUCGAACCCUCACCAACAAGGUGGAAGUUCAGGUAACUAACCAACUAAGCUACUAAGAUUCCCUUGUGGUAGAUAAAUAUUGAUCCGGCUUUGAGAAUUUUUUUGUGUAACUGUUAAGUUUAAUUGUUUAUUUUGAUAUCUCUAAUAUCAUAUUGUUUUGUAUGUUGGUCGGACUUUGAUGAAUUUGAUGUAAAGGUUAGAGUUAAUCAAAUGGUCCUAAUAUCUUACUAUUUGUUGUUUUUAUGUUUAAUACUAGUGGUAGAUAAAUAUUGAUCGUCUUUGAAAAUUUUUUUGUGUAAAGAUUAGGUUUAAUUGUAUUAUUUGAUAUCUCUAAUAUCAUAUUGUUUUGUCUGUUCGGUCGGACUUUGAAGAAUUUUUAUGUAAAGGUUAGAGUUAUUCAUAUUGUCCUAAUAUCUUACGAUUUAUUAUUUUUCUGCUUAAUACAGGUGGCAGAUGAAUGUUGACUGACUUUGAGAAAAACUGUGUAAAGGUUAGGUUUAAUUGAAUUAUUUUGAUAUAUCUAUUAUCAUAUUUUGUUUUUGUUUUAGUUUACAAGUUAUAGAUGAAUGUCAGCCAGGUUUGAGGAAAAUUUUAUGUAAAAGUUACAUUUAUUUGUCUUAUUUUGAUAUCUCUAUUAUCGUAUUGUUUUGUUGUAUUUUACAUGUGGUAGAUUAAUGUCGACUGACUUUGAAAAAAUUUGUGUAAAGGUUAGAUUUAUUUGUAUGUCUUAAUAUCUCUUAUUGUCGUGGUAUUUAGUUCACAAUUUUUUUUAAAAAACAAUCAUGAUAAAUGAGGUUGAGAUGGUUCGGACAAGUGAAAAAGAGAUGCACGAAUGCCCCAAUAUGGAGGUGUGAGAGAUUGAUGAUAGAUGAUUUUAGGAGAGGUAGAACUAGACUGACUAAGUAUUACAGAAAGCCGAUUAGACAAGACAUGAUGUAAUUACAAUUUGCCGAGAAUGUGAUCUGAUAUAGGAGGGUGUAGAGGACAAAAAUUAGGAUACAAUGUUAGUAGAUAACAAUAUAGAUUUUUAUCGAUUAAUGUGAUAUACACGUGCAAAACACCUACACUAAACUAGUUUCUUAAAUAGAUUUAUUAUACAUACAUAUACCUUGAUUUUUGUUAAUAUUAGUGAUUUAAAAUUUAAUUAAACUGUAAUAGUGAAAAAUUUUGUAUAGUUUAAUAGUGGAAGCAGUAGUCCAUUAGUUAGUCAAGAAAACAGUUAGUUAGCAACUCUUUAAAAAAAAAAAAGCAACUUUCAAAAUCUAAUUUAUCCAAAAUUGAAAACAUAAUCAUAUAUUUUAUAUAAAAUACGCUUAUAAGUCUCUUUCAAUGUUCUCCAAUGGUGAUAGAGCCACUUGUGUGAGUCCCAGAGGCACGUCUAUCUCCUCCACCACGCUGAUUUUUUGCAUUUAUUUUUGACUUUUCAAUACACGUAGCAUCUGCCAAAAGUGUCUUCCAAUUGUUCAACACAUUCUGUGAAAUCCAAUCCAGUCUUAUCUUACUUGUUUUUACUUUGAAAGCAAAAUAAUUUCUUCUUCUUGAUGCCUUAUGCUCCUAUUCUUUCUUCACAAUAGUAUCAUUGAGGAAUCCCAAUAGAAUGCCUUCUAAAAUAAUUUAACAAAUUAAUAACAUGAUUCAUAUAUACAAAAGUUAAUACAGAUUAAUAUUUCAAAUUCUAUUGUGACGGAUUAUAUAACUUGAAUUCUUCAAAAUAACUUUUUUUCAUCUAUGGUGAGACACUUUUCCAGUUGAUUCCUUUAGGAUCAAGUUCAUGCUUGAAAAAGCCAAAUACAUAACUAGAGCAGUCUUCAGAAGGCUCUAUCCUGAACAAUUUAGAAGACACUAUUUAAAGACAUACCAAUACCAAUAACAUUAUAUUAAAAAGUAGUAGUAUGACUAACCCUAUGGGAGAAAGAGUAACAAGCGUUCGCGAUCUGCUGAUACUGUUGGACUCAACUUGAUCACUUAUUAUGUUGUUGUGAGAAUAUGUACCCCGCCUACUGUGCUGCUUUGAUUUGGAAUAACCGGAGAUGGUCCCAAAUUAAUGGAUGAGGAACUACCAUGACCUUAUCCUUGAAUAUGUAGCACAGGUGUUGUACUACUUGGAGCUGAUAUUUGGUUAAUAUGAUUUGACCUACCUGAGGAACUCAUGCCACCUUGUUGAGAGCUACUUGUGAAAAUGGGACCAAUUGGCAUGUUUCCAUGAGUAGCAGAAUCACCCCUGCCUAUAGAAUUACUUGCAUGAUUUGUAAUAAUUCGGCCUCUAACUUGAGUCAGAUCUACAAAAGAUAUAAUAGAUUAGUGUCAUAACAAAAAUAGUCUAUGAUUCUAGCAUUUCUGAAAAACGACAAGCAUCAUUAGCGACAAUCAAGUUCAGUAGUUCUAAAGUAUUUGUUAUUUUUGUACUAAGAAGAUGUAACCCCACCUACUGUGUUACUUUGAUUAAGAGUGACCAGAGAUGGUUUCAAAUGAAUGCGUGAUGUACUACCAUGACCUGAUCCUUGAAUAGGUAACAUUGUGGCAUACUACUUGGAGCUAAUGUUUGGUUAAUGUGAUUUGGACCAUCAAAGGAACUCAUGCCACCUUAUCGAGGGCUACUUGUGAAAAUGGGAACAGUUGGCAUGUUUCCACGAGUAGCAAAAUUACCCCUGCCUAAGAAUUUGCUUGCACGACUCGUGAUAGUUCGGCCUCUACCUCAAGUCAUAUCUAUAAAAAAAUAUAAUACAUCAGUCUCAUAACAAAAAAAAAAGUGUGUGAUUCUAUCAUUUCUUGAAGCAUAUUGAUAACAAAAUCAAGUUCACCCAUUCCAAACUUAACAAAAUCAAGUUCAGUAAUUCCAAACAUAACAAAAAUCAAGUUCAGAUGCGCAAGACAUAACAAGAUCAAGUUCAGUAGUUUCAAACAUAACAAAAUCAAGUUCAUCAGUUUCAAACAUUACAAAAUUAAGAUCUUGCAGAUUCAAGUACAUAACUAAGUCAUGGUUAUGCAAACAACUAGCUUCAAUAGACUAUCCUCAAAUAUAUUCAGCAUGUAAUUUGAAAUUUAACGAGGUACAUAACUAGCAUAAAAUAUUGUAACAGAACCUGGACCAUAGCCUUAUGAAACUAGUUAUAAAUUGGGAUUUUUUGCAUAUCAUCCUAUCUUAUUUUAUAGUACAAGAGAACCUGAACGAUAGACUUCUGAAGGUCUAUAGAUUGGGAUUUUUCUCACAACCAGUAUGAUAAGCAAAGCAUGAUCCAGAAAUUUUUACUAGUAGAGGCAGGAAUUCUUAAUCUUUUUCAACAAGCAGUAAGAUAUUCCUAGCAAGAGAUAAUCAAUAAGAAACAACAUGGAUUUUUUAAAUUUUAAUCAUUCUAAAUUGAAGAUCAAAAGCUAAGGAAAUGAUAGUACUACGACAAAGUUCAAAUAAAAUACUGAGAAGAAACUGGAGCACAUUUUUAUCAAGUACUAGUCACUAUUUAUUUUUUUGGUCGAACUUUUCCUCAUCCUCUUCAGUUUCUCAGUUUCAUAACCUUCUUCAGUUUCAUACUCUUCUUCAGUAGAUUCUUCUUGAAUAUCUUGAUGGUCUGACAGUAAUCCACCACAAAGAGGCUAUCUAUUUCAGUCACGCCCAAUUUGGAUCAUGUGAGAGCAUAUUUUCAUCAAUGAAAGCAUUCAUGUAUAUUUCAUGGACUUCAACUUCUUCAACAUGAAAUGAAAUAUUUAGUCCUGGAGUUAUCCCCACUACCUCAUUGGGUGAUUCAAUAACAUUUCGAGGUUUCACCUUCAAUAUCGUUGCCCAAUCAUCCUUGUCCUUUUUCUUGCUAGGAUAAGACACAUAACACACCUGAAAUUUUCAAAAUAAUAUAUAUAUUUAUCAAUAAAACGGAACAUCGAAAUCAUCUGCUCAGUAGCAAUAAAACAACUAGCAAAUCAGCAGAAUACAACCAACGUGAGCUGGAGAUAUAACGAAAAUUUGAUGUGAAGAUACUAUAAUUCAAAUAUAUAAUUACCUAAUAAAGAAACAAAGAGAAUUGAUUUAAAAUUAUUAUAGCUUAAAUAUAUAAUUAACUUACGGAUAAAGUCCAUGUGCUACGGUCCUUAAUCCUAACAAUUACAAAGGUCAUUAUAUGGCACUUUGACAGUCAACAGAUUUUACACACAAUUAGUUUCAAGCGCUGCUUUCCGGCAAUACCUCAUGAUCUUAAAAGCAUCGUGUAAUAGUAGGAACAAACAUACUCAUUCAUUAUAGUGAUAAGUGGAGUUCAACAAGCUUUCAGUUCUAAUUCAAUGAAAAAUAAGGGAUACUAGUGAUGUUGUUUCAAGUACACAAUCUGUAUGUUUUGCACAAACACUUCAAGACUGUAUCAAGAACACCUAUUGUAAUUCCCUGUAUAUUUCCUAGUUCAAUUCAGCUCAUAAUCUAUGCAUGAGAGGCCUAAGAACUCAAAAAAUUUAGCUAAGUGUUGAAGACUUAGUCUCAUUUUGGCCUCCAAAACUUUGAUAAUUUUAUUCUCGACCUUCCCGACCCCGAAAAAUUGGUUUCUAAGUCAAUUCAUGAUCAGGGUUGUUGGUAGUUCAUUUCGGACUUUUCCGACAAGGUUUGAGGUUUGUUUGGAUGUCAAAAACAAUAAGUCAACGCGAUAAGGACGCGACGCGUCGCCCAUCGUGUUAGUAGGGUAUGGUCAAUGCGACGCGUCGCCUAUCGCAUCGGCUGAGCGACGCGACGCGUCGCCAAUUGCGUCACUGGGUGCUUUUUAGCUCAUUAAAUUCCAAGUCUAGGAAGGUAUUUCAGUCUUUUCCCCUCACUUUAACACAGGAUUUAGGUCCCAAAAGAGCAUUUUUGCCUCAUUUUUCAUAAUUCCCUCCAAUUGAAAUCAUCCUCUCUCAAGAAUUCAAAUCCUAGCUCUUCAAGCUUCAAGUUCAAUUCUCAAGAAAUCCCUCAAUAACUUUCAAGAAUUCGUCAAUUGAGGUAUGUUAAAUGUUCAUCCAUGGGUCCUUUCACCCAUAGAGUCCAAGAAUCCAAGUUUAAGUUUGAAGUUAUGAUUUUACAUGUUUCCAUGAAUUUUGCCUAUAGAUUUCCAUGAAAUUCAAGUUUAUAUUAUAUUUCCAUGAAAUUGUUGUUGUUAUUAAACCCUACAUAUUUGAAUGGUGUUGUUCGCUGAUUUAAACCUUAUUUUAAGGAUUUAGUAUCAAAAUCAUGCUACUACUACAUGCUUUAAAAACUACUUCCAUGCUUAAGCCAUGCACUGCAAAUGUUUGAUAAAAUGCCUCAAAGAAUGCCUUUUGAAUAUUGAUUUUAUGUCAUGUUCUCAAAGUGUUGGUAUGGCCUUGUUAUCAUUGCUAUCGAGUCCUGAGGGUUGUGAAUACCCAAAAACUUAGUUGUUUACUUAGUCUUAGCAUUGUCAGUAUGUUUUCAGAUAUAGCUUUGUCAAUUCAAUCAGUGCAUCAUGUCAGUAAACUCAGUUCAGUUCAGUAAUUAGAGUCAGUUCAGUUGGAAGUAGGAUUUAGCAUCGAGCGAAGCCAGGGAUGGGGGCUUACCUUCCAGUUGAGGGUGUGACCUUUAGUAGCAAUCCCUGCAUUCUAGAACUACGUAGCCAGCGUAGGUUGAGAUGUUAACCUGCCAGUUGAGGGUUGACACAUAUCUCAUUAGGGAACUGGCAGUUGAGGGUGACCCUAGUCCCUCGGGACAACACUUUAGUGGAUACACACAAUCAGUGUUAGUACCCAUGGCACGGUACUAACACCCCGCCAACUGGGGUUACAAGUUGGACCCUAUUUAACUUAGUUUGGAAUAUGUCGGUUAGAAGAUAGCUCCCAUAGUUUCAGUUCAAUAAUCAGUCUAGUACUCAAUUUCAGGCUUGCUUGACCAUGGCAUAUAGUCACUUGUUGCAUAGUAUCAGUAUUUCUGUAUGUCAGUUUACAGAUUAUCUCAGUUUCAUGUCAUAUGAUUGGUCAUACAUUCUCAGAUUUUAUAGCUUUCAUGCAUGCUAUAUAUCAGUUAUCUUAUGCCUUACUUACAGCCAGUUCUUAUUCAUGCAUAUGAACCCAUGCAUAAUAGCCUAACCCUAUUUAGCAUACCAGUACAUUCAAAGUACUGACCGCACACUCGUUUCUUGCGCUAUGAUGUCUCAUAUCAUAGGUAUGGAAGUUCAGGUUUCCAACUGCACCUAGACCUCCCAACGCAUCAGUAGCAGUAGAAGUGGCGAGUCCUCAUAUUCUGAGGACCGUUUGUGUUUAUUUCAGAUCAGUUCAGUAGUCAGUCGGAGUUAGUUGGGGACUUGUCCUAUCAACUCCGAAGUCAGUCAGUUAGAGGCUUUCAAAUGCUUUCAGUCAGUUCUUCAGUUAUCAUAUGUUAUUGACAGUCUUAUAGUAUUGUUUUUGGAUAGAUGUUCUCAGUAUUUUAAUUCAGUAUUGUUUUUCGUAUUUAAAAACCUUAUGGCAUUUUCAGUUAAGUUCCGUACAUGUUCCCUUUUAUUUUAUUCAGUGCUUACAGCAGGUACCAACAUGGGUUAACUUGUGGUCCUUUGGGGAUGUAGGCACCGUGGUAUCUAGGGUGUACUCUCGAGGCAUUACACCUAUGAAGUUUUAACACCUUCAACACAAUUUCUACAAGAACUAUCAAAAGAAGUAUGUUAUUUAAAAAAAAUGAGAUGAAGAAGAAAUAGAACUAAGUCCCCCGAUUUCAUAGAAUGUCCUUAAGGAAUUAAUAUCCCUCAAGUACUCGAGGUUGCAGAAUUUUUCCUUCUAGGAUAAAAUGGCUCACAAUCUGAAUGUAGCGGUACCUCAAACGUUCAGAUUCUUUGAACACACUCAACGGCAGAUGAUCACAAAGAGUUUUUAGAAGUAGAAGAGUGUUUUUCAAUCCUUAAAUUUUUGUACAUACCUAUGAAAAAAAUGUAGGUAUUUAUAGACAUUCCAGUGCCCCUUCAAAAAGGAAGCAAUGGUUCAUCGAAAAAGUGUAUCACUUCGGAAUAGUCAUGUAUGUCCAUUUCAAAAUAGUGUAUCUUUUCUGAACAGUCACAUCGAACUGAACAGUAAACCCUUUUUCAAAAUAGUGUGUCAUUUCCUCAAAAGGUUGCGUCCCUUUCGAGUAACGUUUCUGCAUUUCAGCAUGCAUCUGCGUGGCGUUUUAUGGAGAAAAAAUAUUUUUUGUUUUUCUAUAGAUUUUUCUGGAUUAAUAAAUUUCACUUGUUUUUCCAAGUUUCAAAUAAACUUUAUCUAAAAAAUUAAUCUCAUCGAUCGAUCAUUUGAUAAAUUUAAAUCCAAAUUCAAAUCCAAAUCUGAAUCUUCAAAUUCGAAUCCAAAUUCAAAUCCAAAGACGAGCCGAACGAGGGAUGACGCGAGACACCUCUUGGUUCUUGCCUCACUAUCUACUUGAACGUGUGUUUCUUAAUAAGAACACAUGAAAGUAGCUUUCUCCCACCAAUGUAGGAGAAGUAUACUUUCCUUAAGUAAGUAUAUUUUUCCUUCAAGACUUUCCUUCCAUUUUCCAUUCACACCAAUUGAACCCAACAAUCACCCACAUGAAUGGUGAAUGUCACACCCCUUUUUUUAACUCCCCAAAAGAAUCAAGUUUUAAGUUUCGAAAGGAUUUUAUUAUUAAAGUGACAAAAGAUGAAAAUUAUUUCGAAAAAACAUUCAUUAGUUUCAAAACUCAGAGGCGCCACUUGGCAUAAAUUAGGUGUGCCAAGUCACCCGUGGAUAUCCUUUUUCAAAAUGGUUUUGACUCUAUAAAACUGAUCCGCGAACAGAGAUCCCAGCUAAGGAAUUUUGUUGACCGAGGGGAAGGUGUUA